UGGGCUUUCGUUCAUCGGAAAGGACACACCCCACAAGGGUGAAAGCCGGGUUCGAUUCCCGGAAGCUCACUA
rnacentral:tRNA from 1 species